GGGGGAUUUGUGCUUCUCACAAUGCUGCAACAUGCGGCUCUGCUGUGGCCUCAGGUGUCGUCAGGGGUCUGUGCCCAAUGUGCAUCGGCUCCCCUCGCUUCAGCUAGGAUAAGGUCUCCGGACUUCGGACCAUGGUGUUCCGCCCCAGUGCAUGAGCUUCGUGAGGCUUCACUAACCGGCUUGUUUUCCUGCUGGUGAAGACUCUGAACACAAGCUGGGAUCUGAAGUCGUGUCUGAGGC